GCAACAUCUUGCAAAAUUGAGAAUAUUUUCUCCAUGGCUUCAUCAAACAGAAUUUUCUUUUGUAAAGUGGCUUGACCCUCACAGCUAUGGCACAGAUAGCAGGGUCAUCAAAAGCUGCUCCAUUCUUCUGGAAGCUACAGAGAAAGGGAACCUGGAAACCUGGUAUGCUGGCAAAAAGGGAUUUGUGCCAUCUUCUUAAUCUCCACCAUCCAGCCUGGACUUGAUACUUUAAAUGGACUUAACACCUAUAUAUGUACAAGUUUUAUUAUCUGAUUUCUAGCAUCAUGAAUCAAUCCCCUUCAAGGAACAGAUAAAAAAGCCCAUCCCUUGAUAGGACAGACAAAGUACAAAACAAAUUGGCAUAGAAAUAUGUCUCCAUAAAAGUUUUCAAUAAUUUCUGGUUGAUGUUUAUUGUCAGUCAUAGCAAUGGAUAUUACCAAAGAAAAUAAUGUGGGUUGAAGAGAGACCAGAACACUGGACAGUACUUGCAUUUGAGAGGUAACUAGAAAACAAAUGAAAAUGAAGAGUCCUUAAUUUUCAUUUGUUUUCUAGUUACCUCUCAAACGCAACUACUAUCUCAAAUGAAAAUGUGUGGCACUGAAUUUGGUAGCAUUAAAAAGA
rnacentral:lncRNA from 10 species